rnacentral:sRNA from 1 species
AUGCACAAGGCGGGGCUGCUAGGCCACUGUGCCCGGGCACGGAAGUCGGUGCGGAUGGCCAGCUCCGGGAUGACCCGCCGGGACCCGCUCACAAAUAAGGUGGCCCUGGUAACGGCCUCCACCGACGGCUUACAGAGUCAAGUCCCUGGGAACCUCAGGAAGCAGCCCACCAUGUUUCAACCACUUACUAUGUGCCAUUUCCUGUGUUCAGAGCCUUACACAGGUUAUCUCUAGACCUGACAACAACCCAAGCAAGGCAAGGACUAUUCUCUCGGUCUGCAGACGCUGGCUCAGAUAGCUGGAGCAACUUCCCAAGGUCCCACAGCCAGUAAGGAAAGACCCAGACCUCCCAAGCUCCCUUCCUUUAUUGGCUGCCUGUGGACUACCGGCUCUGGAUGGACAAGGAAAAAGAGGAAAGCAUGAAAGAAACCCUGCGGAUAAGAAGGUUAGGCGAGCCAGAGGAUUCUGUUGGCAUCGUGUCUUUCCUGUGCUC